UUCCGGUUGAUCCCGCCGGACCUGACUGCUAUCGGAUUGAUACUAAGCCAUGCGAGUCUUUGUAGUAAUACAAGGCAGACGGCUCAGUAACACGUAGUCAACCUACCCUAUGGACGAGAAUAAUCUCGGGAAACUGAGCAUAAUUCUCGAUAGAUCAUAAUGCCUGGAAUGGUUUAUGGUUAAAAUGAUUCGUCGCCAUAGGAUGGGACUGCGGCCUAUCAGCUUGUUGGUGAGGUAAUGGCCCACCAAGGCGAUUACAGGUACGGGCUCUGAGAGGAGAAGCCCGGAGAUGGGUACUGAGACACGGACCCAGGCCCUAUGGGGCGCAGCAGGCGAGAAAACUUUGCAAUGUGCGAAAGCACGACAAGGUUAAUCCGAGUGAUUUCUGCUAAAGAAAUCUUUUGCCAGUCAUAAAACCACUGGUGAAUAAGGGGUGGGCAAGUUCUGGUGUCAGCCGCCGCGGUAAAACCAGCACCUCAAGUGGUCAGGAUGAUUAUUGGGCCUAAAGCAUCCGUAGCCGGCUUUGUUAGUUUUCGGUUAAAUCCAUGUGCUCAACGCAUGGGCUGCCGAAAAUACUGCAUAGCUAGGGAGUGGGAGAGGUAGACGGUACUCAGUAGGAAGGGGUAAAAUCCUUUGAUCUAUUGAUGACCACCUGUGGCGAAGGCGGUCUACCAGAACACGUUCGACGGUGAGGGAUGAAAGCUGGGGGAGCAAACCGGAUUAGAUACCCGGGUAGUCCCAGCUGUAAACGAUGCAGACUCGAUGAUGCAUUGGCAUAAUAGCCAAUGCAGUGUCGCAGGGAAGCCGUUAAGUCUGCCGCCUGGGAAGUACGUACGCAAGUAUGAAACUUAAAGGAAUUGGCGGGGGAGCACCACAAGGGGUGAAGCCUGCGGUUCAAUUGGAUUCAACGCCGGG
rnacentral:rRNA from 1 species